UACGUAGGUGGCAAGCGUUGUCCGGAUUUACUGGGCGUAAAGAGCGCGCAGGCGGUCGUUCAAGUCGCGUGUGAAAGCCCCCGGCUCAACUUGGGAGGGUCACGCGAUACUGAUCGACUGGAAGGCAGGAGAGGGUAGUGGAAUUCCCGGUGUAGUGGUGAAAUGCGCAGAUAUCAGGAGGAACACCGGUGGCGAAGGCGGGUCUCUGGGCCGUAACUGACGCUGAGGAGCGAAAGCAUGGGGAGCGAACAGG
rnacentral:rRNA from 1 species